CAAAACUCAGUGACCUGGGAGUGGAAUGAUCAGAAGCAAAAUGAAGAGUCAGGCUCAGCUGUGAGAAAAGGGGAUCAAAAAGCAAUAGAAGUGUAUGAGAAAUAUACAGGCAGACGAUUUUACUUUAAGGAUUGUUUCCUUGAGAAUUCAGGGCAAGAAAAAUAACUGUGGACAUUAAGACAGUGGGCUUGUUGUGAAGCAGCAAUUUUGCAGUAAUGUAUAAAUUUUAAAAAGCUAAUUCCUUCUCAGUAAUUUCCAGCUCAGGAUGUGUGUGGUAGUACUCCCAGGCACAAAGUUC
rnacentral:lncRNA from 1 species